CAGAACGUGGCCAAGACAGAAAAGCAUCUCUCUUACACAGAGAAGUCAUCCGUGCAAAUCGGAUCGUCCUGA
rnacentral:tRNA from 1 species